rnacentral:rRNA from 1 species
GACGAACGCUGGCGGCGUGCUUAACACAUGCGAGUCGAACGGAAAGGCCCUGCUUUUGUGGGGUGCUCGAGUGGCGAACGGGUGAGUAACACGUGAGUAACCUGCCCUUGACUUUGGGAUAACUUCAGGAAACUGGGGCUAAUACCGGAUAGGAGCUCCUGCUGCAUGGGGGGGGUUGGAAAGUUUCGGCGGUUGGGGAUGGACUCGCGGCUUAUCAGCUUGUUGGUGGGGUAGUGGCUUACCAAGGCUUUGACGGGUAGCCGGCCUGAGAGGGUGACCGGCCACAUUGGGACUGAGAUACGGCCCGGACUCCUACGGGAGGCAGCAGUGGGGAAUACUGCACAAUGGGCGGAAGCCUGAUGCAGCAACGCCGCGUGCGGGAUGACGGCCUUCGGGUUGUAAACCGCUUUCGCCUGUGACGAAGCGUGAGUGACGGUAAUGGGUAAAGAAGCACCGGCUAACUACGUG